AGUUGUGUGGGCACCACAUGGAAUUUGUGGAUGACUUUCCACUUCAAAUUUUAUCACCUUUGGUCCCAAAUUUUCCUAAUUGUUCCAUACCAAUAAAUUCAUGCACAACUUAUAUCUCAAAAUAAAUUCGAAGGUCAAGAAUCCCGACUUUGUAUCCCAAAAUAAUUUUGUCCUUAGCUUAUCAUAAAUAAAUCUGAAUUAUUCCACUGUACAAAAAUACGGGUUCUAACAAUAUCCCCAUAUUACGGGUCAAACCUUAACCCGAAAGUACGGGGUGUUACAAAGAAGCAUGAGUUUGGGAUGUUCAUGUGUUAUGUCGCGUAAGGAACAAGAUCUUUCUUUGUAUACAAGAGAGUGAUUAUAGUACAUUGAAUACAAUGACGCUGCUGCAAGCCAAGCUUCAUCAAAGCUUUCCCACCCAAAGGCAAGCUCAGGAGCUUGAGGAUCUUCAAGGCACAUUUGUGAUGUUGGGAGACAUAGAGUAAACUUUGGAGUCAUUUGAGGGAUUUAACCUACUUGAGGACAAAGAAGUCCAAAUAUUGAAAGAGGAUAUGGAAGAAAGUGGCUAGAAUCACAACUUUGUAAUAAUGUCUAGUUUCGGCCAAUUAGUGGCUAUUUUGGCCAAGUGCCUCAUUUUAGGUUCAAUUUUGCAAUUAGGCUAUAAAUAGUUAGCUUAAGUCAUUUUGACAUUUAGGUUUUUAGAAUAUUUUGUUCUCUUUGAGAGACUUGAGAACCUGGUGAAGCUUUUGUUGAUUCCUUUAUUUAGAAAUGUGGGUUGCAAGGUGAAUACAAUUCCCUUGAGGUCUACUUUAGAGAUUAGGUGCUUUUUAGAUUCCUUUAAUUGAAGGUUCUGAUUUUAAUAUAACAUUGGUUUUCAAUUAA